UCAGCUCGUGUUGUGAGAUGUUGGGUUAAGUCCCGCAACGAGCGCAACCCCUAUUGUUAGUUGCCAUCAUUCAGUUGGGCACUCUAGCGAGACUGCCGGUAAUAAACCGGAGGAAGGUGGGGAUGACGUCAAAUCAUCAUGCCCCUUAUGACCUGGGCUACACACGUGCUACAAUGGUUGGUACAGCGAGUUGCGAGCCGGUGACGGCGAGCUAAUCUCUUAAAGCCAAUCUCAGUUCGGAUUGUAGGCUGCAACUCGCCUACAUGAAGUCGGAAUCGCUAGUAAUCGCGGAUCAGCACGCCGCGGUGAAUACGUUCCCGGGCCUU
rnacentral:rRNA from 1 species